rnacentral:rRNA from 1 species
UACGUAGGGUGCGAGCGUUAAUCGGAAUUACUGGGCGUAAAGCGUGCGCAGGCGGCUUUGCAAGACAGAUGUGAAAUCCCCGGGCUCAACCUGGGAACUGCAUUUGUGACUGCAAGGCUAGAGUACGGCAGAGGGGGAUGGAAUUCCGCGUGUAGCAGUGAAAUGCAUAGAUAUGCGGAGGAACACCAAUGGCGAAGGCAAUCCCCUGGGCCUGUACCGACGCUCAUGCACGAAAGCGUGGGGAGCAAACAGG